GCGAACAAGUACCGUGAGGGAAAGAUGAAAAGAACUUUGAAAAGAGAGUAAAAUAGUACGUGAAAUUGUUGAAAGGGAAACGAUUGAAGUCAGUCGUACCGACGGAAAAUCAGCUCUUCGAGUGUGAACUUGUGGGAGUACGUGAGCUUUAACCGGCCUCGUUGUUUGCGAUGUUUGUGCUUUUUGGGUGUACUUUUUCGUAUGGUUGGCCAACGUCAGUUUCGGUUACCAUAAAAUGAUUGGAGGAAUGUAGCUUCGAUAA
rnacentral:rRNA from 1 species